AGAGUUUGAUCCUGGCUCAGGACGAACGCUGGCGGCGUGCUUAACACAUGCAAGUCGAACGGAAAGGCCCUUUCGGGGGUACUCGAGUGGCGAACGGGUGAGUAACACGUGGGUGAUCUGCCCUGCACUUUGGGAUAAGCCUGGGAAACUGGGUCUAAUACCGAAUACACCCUGCUGGUCGCAUGGCCUGGUGGGGGAAAGCUUUUGCGGUGUGGGAUGGGCCCGCGGCCUAUCAGCUUGUUGGUGGGGUGAUGGCCUACCAAGGCGACGACGGGUAGCCGGCCUGAGAGGGUGUCCGGCCACACUGGGACUGAGAUACGGCCCAGACUCCUACGGGAGGCAGCAGUGGGGAAUAUUGCACAAUGGGCGCAAGCCUGAUGCAGCGACGCCGCGUGGGGGAUGACGGCCUUCGGGUUGUAAACCUCUUUCACCAUCGGCGAAGCCCAUGAUUUUUGUUGUGGGUGACGGUAGGUGGAGAAGAAGCACCGGCCAACUACGUGCCAGCAGCCGCGGUAAUACGUAGGGUGCGAGCGUUGUCCGGAAUUGCUGGGCGUAAAGAGCUCGUAGGUGGUUUGUCGCGUUGUCCGUGAAAUUCCCUGGCUUAACUGGGGGCGUGCGGGCGAUACGGGCAGACUAGAGUACUGCAGGGGAGACUGGAAUUCCUGGUGUAGCGGUGGAAUGCGCAGAUAUCAGGAGGAACACCGGUGGCGAAGGCGGGUCUCUGGGCAGUAACUGACGCUGAGGAGCGAAAGCGUGGGGAGCGAACAGGAUUAGAUACCCUGGUAGUCC
rnacentral:rRNA from 1 species